rnacentral:tRNA from 1 species
CGCCGGGGUGGUGGGCGGGCUGGGCGUCGCGCCCUCCGGCGACGUGAGCGAGAGCCGCGGCCUGUUCCAGCCGAGCCACGGCACC